GCCUCUGGUUAUGGGGAGCUUCACUUCAGAUGAGUCAGAUGGAGGACGGAAGGGGAAGCUGCCCGAGGGGCAGGCCUGGGACGGAGGCAAAUGCACAGGGAGGACAGCAGACCUCCAAGGGUACUACUUGAUGCAACAUGGAAAGAGGCUGAGCUUGGCAGUCAAGGCCCUGAGUUUAAUCUGACUUCUCCAAUUACAAAAGGGCCUUCCAGGCUUCAGAGACACUUCUGCUUCUGGCUUUCCUUACUGUAGCCCCUCAGAGCAGAGGCGCCGGGCCCCAGCUGGAGACUGCCGCCCGGCCUCACCUCGUCUUCUAGGGCCUGUGCUUGGCGGCCCAGGGCCCGCGGCCCCACCCUCAGGCUCUGCCGAGGAAGGCGGCCUUCCAAGGCUCCAGUCAGCUAGGUGGGAAUUCCAGGCUGUGUGUAUUUAUGGAAGGCCAUGGCGGUCCUGAGAGAGGAAUGAUAUGCUGACCUGCAUUCUGGUGAGCUCCUGGGAGCCUACAGGCUUCUCCCUCCCCUCCUGUGAGCCUGGUGCCCCAAACCCAGGACACUGUCCAGGGAGGAUGACUGAGCUGGGCAAGGAAGAGGGGAACUCGGCGGCAGAGCCUCUCGAAGGCCUGGCUUCUAAUCUGGGUUGUCACCCACCACUGCCCCUGCCCCGUCUGCAGGUACUUCCAGAACAUCUCCUGUGGGCAGGCUGUGCUUUCUUCAACCUGGGGAAUUUGCUAAUCUCUGGGUUCACUUCGGGAAGGAACUGAGAGACAGAGAUGGCAACAGGGCCGCUGGUGCAUGGGAGCACCCAGACACAAAGCGAAUAAUUAUUCCUGGCUGACAUCAGCAGCCCACUGCUGACUGUGUGAGCUGCUUUCCUUCCAGCCCCACCUGUGGGUCUGGCAGCCCCCAAAGAAAUAGCGAUGAGUAGCUGCAUGGGUCUUAGAUGCUGGUCGGCACGUGGCUGACCACCACCUCCCCACUGUUCUUAGGUCUUCUAGGUAUUAUCGGUCUGGGUACAACCAAGAUCUUUUACCCACUAAUCCCGCUGUUGCAGACAGGUGUGAAAAGCACAGAUAGCAGACAUCAUGGGGUGCUGAUUUAAUUACUACUCUUCAGAGCAGUCAGUUUGGGUCUGGAAAGCUCCUAAAGGCAGGUCUGUCUGUGAAACAAGAGCAGACAUUGUGAGUUUUAAAUAGGCAGCUGACAGCCCACGGCUGACGGUGAUGUCAGGCCCACCAGCUGGGCGGACUCCAUCCCUGGCAGGCUCACUGUUCUUCCUUGCCUCAGGCUCAGGCCUCUGUGUGAGGAUGAGCCCAGGGCUGGUGAGGAGGCUGCGGCCAGGACAGGUAGGACAAGGCAGGGAUUCCCCAUCAGAGGGGGCUGAGCCAUGCGUUCCAGUGCCCAAAAGUUGUGGGUCCUUCUCAUUUAUCCACUCAACAAACAUUUAUUAAACACCUUCUGCUUGCCAAACACUACUCUUCCCUGGGGACAUGAUGGUGAAUGGUGAACCUCAAGGUGACUGCUCAGAUACCCUGUCUUCGCAAAACCUUGUUCUCCGGUGCUCCUCCACUGGUGCCUUAAUAUGACCAGGAGCUCACGGAGCAGGGGAAGGCUGUAUGCCACAGAGCUUCCUUCAGCAUCAGACCUGAGCUGUCUCCAGUGUUGGCCCUGGAGGAACCCACUGAAUAAAUUUAUCCUCAAGCAAAUCUUGGCUGCCUCAGAGGAACCCAGAUGGCCUUUCGUGUGUGUGUGUGUGUGUGUGUGGUGUCCAUGCAUUAGGGUAAUUCCAUUUGUGUUUAAGCUAGAGGGAGU